CUCUCCUUGCUCUGUCUGUCAAAUCCAUUUCUCUUUCCUGUUUCCCUGACUUUUCCUCAGACAUUCCGUGUUUCGUACUGUUCUCUUGCUUCGAUCAUCUCGAACCUCAAUUUCCUAUUCAGUAUUAUCACAGCACUGUGUAGCUGCACUAUCAGUGAUGCUCUCCCUGCAUCCAUCACCAUUGACGUGGCUGAAUGUGGACCGGAUCCAACGGUUUCUAGACCAUAAACUUUCUUAGGACCAUGCUACCCUUGUACUAUCACUGGUCGAUUUCUUCGUGUAUACGUUGUUAGAGGGCAGAAUGAUCAUUUCGGUUUGGGAGUCUGUGGCUGUCUGGGGUUCCUCUGGCUGCACGUUAAAUGGGCUUCAGAGGAUUGGAAAUAACGGUCUUGCCCUUGUUAGAUGGGACCUGGAGUGUUAGAUUUGGAAAUGGUACCCCACCUCCUGGUGUAAGUUAGCAGGGACCCAAAUAAGGAAGUUGUCUUCACAUGUUCCUUGGACACUCUCUGAUAUUUUAGAUACGUAAAAUCCGGGGUGCUUUUGUAGCUCUCCUCCCAAUGACCAAAAUGCCCUUUUCCCUCAUGCUCCUCUAAUCUUUGUUAUACGUCGCGGUCCCCACAUAACGCGUAAAGGUGAACAAGAUCUCAGCCGUCCAAUCCUUAAACACUCUUCAAACAAUUUCUGUUCCUUGACCUUAGCAUGUCGUAAAAGGCUACUGAACGGUCUAGAUUUAAUGUUUCUGAUUGCUGCCAUGAAUGUGGGACCACGUGGGUAGUGAUGUUGUAUUACUAUCCACUGUUGACCAACUUUUCAGUGUUCAUUUUCUAUAAAUCUGCGAUAGAGAGCGUGGUGGUGUCAUAUGUGAUAGAUAAGAUAGUUAAACCGUUGAAAUCAUCCAUUAAAGCCCAUCCCAUUGAUCUGAUUGCGGAGGGUUUUAUUAUAUUAUUUUGCACUUGAUUGUAGGACAGCUAUUCUAUUUUUGUUAUAAAAAUUUGAGGGGAAAUAUUCAUUCACGGCUCACGGGUUGUCAUUCAUUCAUCUUUUUAAAUAUCUUUUCACUUGAAGAAGUUGAUUUAAGUAUAGUUUUAUUGGCCGUCUCGAAAAAGCCUCGGCAUUGGUGCUUCUUCAGUCAGAGAGAAAAUAGAUUUUAAACAAAAAAAUGUGAAGUUUUGAGGCAUGGUGAGAUUGGGGGUGUCCCUGAUUUGAAUCUUAAAGAAGGGUAAGCUGGGAAGAAGACAGGGAUUGCUUGCACAAAUCUAGCUAAACUGGAGCUCUGUCUCUGGCUGAGUAUGGGAUGGGGAGAAGCCAUUCGAUGCCGAAACUGUACGGCAUGCACUCCUUUUCCCCUUGCUUGCUUUGCCGAUGCUGCAAACAAAAGGGGGAGAGACGCCAAGGAGUGGAGAGAAAUAUGGAGAAGAAUGAAGCUGCUACUGCGUUGCCUGCCACAGCCACCGCUACUCCUUCAGCAUGGGUUGAUAUGAAAGUGGUUUCUAAGCAAAUGCUCGUCUUUGGCUUUUCUGAGAGGUGGGUUGGUAUUGGUAGCAGAUAUCCGCUUCACCCUGUCGAUAUCAUCCAGCUCUUCUUUAUCCUCUUCUUCUUGUUCUUCUGUUUCUGUUUCUUGGGAAUUUAAUGGUGGUGGUGUUAAGGUGGAAUCUGGUGUGAUAUUGGCGGGACCGGCUCAAUCUAUUUUUCUUUUUCUCUUUUCGUUUCUUCUUUUUGUCUUUUUGUUUUUCCAUUCUUGUAGCUAAUGUGUAUAUGGAUGAGUAAGAAUAUCAGAUUCUUCUCCAACAGGAUUGGCUCAUGCUACAUCCUUUUUGUUUUGAGAAUAACUUGGUCUGUAGUUAUGCUUGCAUCUUGUGCUUAUUUGUGACUCUUUGAAAGAAA